AACGAACGCUGGCGGCAUGCCUAACACAUGCAAGUCGAACGAGACCUUCGGGUCUAGUGGCGCACGGGUGCGUAACGCGUGGGAAUCUGCCCUUGGGUUCGGAAUAACUUCGGGAAACUGAAGCUAAUACCGGAUGAUGACGUAAGUCCAAAGAUUUAUCGCCCAAGGAUGAGCCCGCGUAGGAUUAGCUAGUUGGUGGGGUAAAGGCCCACCAAGGCGACGAUCCUUAGCUGGUCUGAGAGGAUGAUCAGCCACACUGGGACUGAGACACGGCCCAGACUCCUACGGGAGGCAGCAGUGGGGAAUAUUGGACAAUGGGCGAAAGCCUGAUCCAGCAAUGCCGCGUGAGUGAUGAAGGCCUUAGGGUUGUAAAGCUCUUUUACCCGGGAUGAUAAUGACAGUACCGGGAGAAUAAGCUCCGGCUAACUCCGUGCCAGCAGCCGCCGUAAUAC
rnacentral:rRNA from 1 species